CCUGAUCCUCCUUUGCCAAUCAAAUUCUCUGACUUGAUGGCAUCAAUGAUGUCUCUUUCACUAAAAUUUAGUGCUCUAAAAGACUUCAUAUCCCAAGGACUCCGCUUUAGUGGAUGAUCAAGAUUGUUUUGUCUUAGCUUCACAAACAAUAAACAACCAGAAAAAAUGACCAAAACUAGCAGACCGGCUGCAAUACAAGAAAGAAGUACGCGACGGUGACCAGAAGUGCGAGAAGUGGCUGAACAAGGUUGGAUAUUCCUCAGAU
rnacentral:misc_RNA from 1 species